AUUGAACGCUGGCGGCAUGCCUUACACAUGCAAGUCGAACGGCAGCGGACCUUCGGGUGCCGGCGAGUGGCGAACGGGUGAGUAAUAUAUCGGAACGUACCUUUCAGUGGGGGAUAACGUAGCGAAAGUUACGCUAAUACCGCAUAUUCUGUGAGCAGGAAAGCAGGGGAUCGCAAGACCUUGCGCUGAUUGAGCGGCCGAUAUCAGAUUAGCUAGUUGGUGAGGUAAAGGCUCACCAAGGCGACGAUCUGUAGCGGGUCUGAGAGGAUGAUCCGCCACACUGGAACUGAGACACGGUCCAGACUCCUACGGGAGGCAGCAGUGGGGGAAUUUUGGACAAUGGGCGCAAGCCUGAUCCAGCCAUGCCGCGUGAGUGAAGAAGGCCUCGGUGUAAGACUCUUCGGUCCGGAGAAGUACGCACAGGUUAAUAACCUCGUGUGGAGUGACGGUACGGAAC
rnacentral:rRNA from 1 species